CAAACAGUCCCAACUGCCUCUCGCCCAGUUGUUCUUUUCCUGUGAUGCUUUUAUCUCCUCUGAACUGGGCCUUACUCUUCCUUCUGGACACACAGCAGCACGCUGUCCGAACAUUGUCACACAUCCCAAUCCAAAGCAGAAAGAGAGUCACUAUGGAUGGAGCAUCAUGGCCCAAAGAGAGGAAAAAGAAGUGGAGCUAUGGGUCUGAGCCUCACAGAGGAAUGAUGUUAGAUUUCUACAAGGCUGAUAAAUGAUACUCCCAUAAGGUUACUGGCAGAGACUGUCAACCAGUUGCAGCCGUACCUUCUCCUCGUUCGCUGUGAGGUGGCUCAAUAACAGGACCUCGAUUAAGACAAAGAAACGUAGAUCAGGGUUGACAGUCCCGUUUGUUUUCUGGAAUAAACACACUGUGAGC